AACGUGAGCGGGCUCGCCAAGAAAUAUGGCGAGGCAAAGCGACAGAUCCGAAUGUUUAUGUUCGGAUGGCUGCGUUGCCAAA
rnacentral:ncRNA from 1 species